rnacentral:rRNA from 1 species
UACGUAGGGGGCAAGCGUUGUCCGGAAUCAUUGGGCGUAAAGCGCGUGUAGGCGGUUCGAUAAGUCUGCUGUGAAAGUCCAGGGCUCAACCCUGGGAUGCCGGUGGAUACUGUCGGACUAGAGUACGGAAGAGGCGAGUGGAAUUCCCGGUGUAGCGGUGAAAUGCGCAGAUAUCGGGAGGAACACCAAUUGCGAAGGCAGCUCGCUGGGACGUCACUGACGCUGAGACGCGAAAGCGUGGGGAGCGAACAGG